GGACCUGGGUCUUAUUCCAAGCACCCACAUGACUGUUCACUGCCAUCUGUAACUUCAGUUCCAUGGGAUCCAAUGUCCUCCACAGACACCAGACAUGUGUGCAUGUAGACAAAACACUCAUACACAUAAAAUAAAAAGAAAUCUUUAAGAAAAUGAUAAACAAGAAGCUCACAAACAUAAAGAGGAACGCCAGGUAUGCUAUACUGUGCUGGCGUGAUACCUUAGCCACUUGGAAACACCAGCAGUGCGCUCUGAAGCCAGCAGCUCUUAAGCCUUAUAGGGACCCUACUCCAGGAUCCCCACACAGUGGCACCUGAUCCCUGUCACAGCCAUCAGGACUUGAAUUAACUCACUUCUUAUCAAUGUAUGUAUGACAAGUUGCAAAUUCUUGUACAUGAAGCAGAAGAAACUUGGACCACACAGCUCCCCCAAAGGCAGGUUUAGCUGUAGGUUUUCAGUGGGCAUGUGCAGUACUUGACCAAGCUGUGCAUUAAGUCUUCAAAAGUUAAAACUGGCUGUGGGCCAGCUAUCUGGGAGUCCCCCCGGGAGCCCCUCUUGAAGAGCCCUAGGAUUCAACAGAAGUUUGAAAGCCAUGUUCUAGUCCAACUCCUGACUAUAGGCAGAUCUUUGCAAACCCUCCUGGACCAGAAGGUGAGGCUGCGUCUACGGGUGCACCUUAGAGGCUCUUGGAACAUCUCCCUAUGAUGCGUUUGUAUUUCCAAAAAAACUCUUCUCCUGUUCUUAUACUUAACCCUCCACGCCCAGCACUGGUCAGUUUUCGGUGACCUUGUCCCCGACAGAGACCAUCUUGGAGACUGAGUCUGGUGGCAGCAGCUUUCUCGCUGUUUCUCAUUCCAUUCCACUUAGCAGUCUCACUGACUGAGCAAGGAACACGGCAGCUUCUAGCUACACGACUGGGCUGUCUCCCUGAGCUGUGCCAAGCUGGCCAGAACCUGCCAUUCUGGCUCAUGUGGUCACUUCAAGACUCCAUUGCUGUCAAAGGGGUCAUGCUUUGUUAGCCAAGAUGCCCUUCCAGAGAAGAGAUCUGGUCUGGAGUUGCUGUCAGGUUACCUGUAUGUGUCAAAGACUUUUAUAUACCCAGGCCGCACGGAUUGGGCUCCAGGGCAAGGCUAAGACUUGUGGGAUUCUUAUCCUGGAAAUGGAGGGGAGCUUCUCUGUUUCUCUGACUCAAGCCUAGAACCACUGGACUGGCCUCAGACACGAGCUGGGAAGCCACCAAGGGCACUCAGCUCUCUGACAUCCCAUCCUUAAAAGAGAAAGAUGUGGUUGCCAGGAUCAGCAUCCAGACUGUGAGGCACAGAGAAUGCCAGAUGUUUUGUUGUUCUCUGGGCCCUAAAAACUGCCGGCUCAAGACCCACUGCCACCAGGCACCUUAAGCUGCUGGACAGCUCCUGGAGCAGAGAAACAAGGAAGGCCUGUGGCCGCAGCCCCAGAUCAUAGAGGGUAGGAAAUGUGCCAGUGUCCCAGCUCAUGUUUCUUACCUUGAAAGAAACGGUUCUCUGAAGAUGGGACACCUAAACCCCAGAAGACAUGGGAGCCUCGUCUGCAGCCAGCCCAGCGCAGUGGUUUCUGUGGAAAGCACGGGCACCGCUAAUGGCGUCACUUGCAAGUUCCUUGGUUUCCUGAGCUUUCUGUUUUCCUGUCUUUACCACACAGUGUUCGCAUCUUGAAAGCCUUAGCUCAGAACCUCUAAUAUUCAGAAAGUAAGUCAGAGAGAGGCCUCUGUUCUAGCCUUAGACUUUCUUAGAGCUUCGGGAGGGUACCUUCCAGCAGGGUUGGUGUUCCCAGCCGCGCCAAGCCCCAUCCUCCCCGAGCGGAGGUCGGAGCAGGAAUCUCCCUAAUGUUGUCUGGCGACUCCAUCUGUAGUGGUGUUUGGUGCCCCGCACCCCCCUGCACCCCCUUCAUACCACGAGCUGCAGAGCUGGCCUGUGUGUGUGCAUGGCAUGCUUUUCAGACAUGCACGCGUUCCAGCUGCUCCACUGGGCUCUCUCACAAUAUUCCUGUCUGUUUUAUCUGUUAUGCCCUUGAUAGCUUUUGGGUCGGGGUGGCAGCAGGGUCAUCCGAUCCAAUAACUCUGUCUUCACCAAUUCCUUGUUGUAGACUAUUGGGGAGAAUCUUAUUACAGUGGCCUCAUCGACUUGCACCUGGGUGGUAUGUAUAGCGUCAUCCACUGCUGGCACUAACCCCGAGACGCCCUUCCCUCUUGUCCUCCAUCCCAGUCCCUGCUCACAGCAGUGAGGAGGAACCAACCUGAUAACCAAACAGCAAAGCAUAAACCCUUUUCCAGGUUCAGUGUCAGAGCUCUUACCUUGUGUGCGCCGAAGCCCUGGGUUUCAUCCCCAGCAUAGCCAAUGGCAAACAGCUGUCGGGUCCUUUGCUCCACAUGUCCCUCGGAGGACAAUUAAGAUAGCUCUUGCUGCUUGAGGUUCUUCUAACAUUUUAUU
rnacentral:lncRNA from 1 species